GACGAACGCUGGCGGCGUGCUUAACACAUGCAAGUCGAACGGAAAGGCCCUGCUUGCAGGGUACUCGAGUGGCGAACGGGUGAGUAACACGUGGGUGAUCUGCCCUGCACUUCGGGAUAAGCCUGGGAAACUGGGUCUAAUACCGGAUAGGAGCCAUUUUUAGUGUGAUGGUUGGAAAGUUUUUUCGGUGUAGGAUGAGCUCGCGGCCUAUCAGCUUGUUGGUGGGGUAAUGGCCUACCAAGGCGGCGACGGGUAGCCGGCCUGAGAGGGUGGACGGCCACAUUGGGACUGAGAUACGGCCCAGACUCCUACGGGAGGCAGCAGUGGGGAAUAUUGCACAAUGGGCGCAAGCCUGAUGCAGCGACGCCGCGUGGGGGAUGACGGACUUCGGGUUGUAAACGCCUUUCGCUAGGGACGAAGCUUUUUGUGACGGUACCUAGAUAAGAAGCACCGGCUAACUACGUG
rnacentral:rRNA from 1 species